UUAGAGUUUGAUCCUGGCUCAGGACGAACGCUAGCGGCAGGCUUAACACAUGCAAGUCGAGGGGCAUAGUAGCAAUACUAGAGACCGGCGCACGGGUGCGUAACGCGUAUGCAAUCUACCUUUCACAAAGGGAUAGCCCAGAGAAAUUUGGAUUAAUACCUUAUAGUAUAGCGACUUCGCAUGGAGAUGUUAUUAAAGAUUUAUCGGUGAAGGAUGAGCAUGCGUCCCAUUAGCUAGUUGGUAAGGUAACGGCUUACCAAGGCUACGAUGGGUAGGGGUCCUGAGAGGGAGAUCCCCCACACUGGUACUGAGACACGGACCAGACUCCUACGGGAGGCAGCAGUGAGGAAUAUUGGUCAAUGGGUGCUUUCCUGAACCAGCCAUGCCGCGUGCAGGAUGUCGGUCCUAUGGAUUGUAAACUGCUUUUGUACAGGAAGAAACACUCCCUCGUGAGGGAGCUUGACGGUACUGUAAGAAUAAGGAUCGGCUAACUCCGUGCCAGCAGCCGCGGUAAUACGGAGGAUCCAAGCGUUAUCCGGAAUCAUUGGGUUUAAAGGGUCCGUAGGCGGCUUAAUAAGUCAGUGGUGAAAGCCCUACGCUUAACGUAGGAACGGCCAUUGAUACUGUUAGGCUUGAAUUAUUAGGAAGUAACUAGAAUAUGUAGUGUAGCGG
rnacentral:rRNA from 1 species